UACGGGGGGGGCAAGCGUUGUUCGGAAUUACUGGGCGUAAAGGGUUUGUAGGUGGCUUGCUAAGUCAGACGUGAAAUCCCUCAGCUUAACUGGGGAACUGCGUCUGAGACUGGCAAGCUUGAGUGCAGGAGAGGAACGCGGAAUUCCAGGUGUAGCGGUGAAAUGCUUAGAGAUUACAUGGAAUACCAAUUGCGAAGGCAGGUUACUACUAAUGGAUUGACGCUGAUGGACGAAAGCGUGGGUAGCGAACAGG
rnacentral:rRNA from 1 species